UUGGUCGAAGUUGGUUUUAAACAACAGAUUUCGGUUGAAGUUGAUUUUUUUGGUCGAUGUUGAUGGUUUUGGUCGAAGUUGGUUUUAAACAACAGAUUUCGGUUGAAGUUGAUGAUUUUGGUCGAUGUUGAUGAUUUUAGUCGAAGUUGGUUGGAAACAACAGAUUUCGGUUGAAGUUGAUGAUUUUGGUCGAUGUUGAUGGUUUUGGUCGAAGUUGGUUUUAAACAACAGAUUUCGGUUGAAGUUGAUGAUUUUGGUCGAUGUUGAUGGUUUUGGUCGAUGUUGGUUGGAAACAACAGAUUUCGGUUGAAGUUGAUGAUUUUGGUCGAUGUUGAUGGUUUUGGUCGAAGUUGGUUUUAAACAACAGAUUUCGGUUGAAGUUGAUGAUUUUGGUCGAUGUUGAUGUUUUUGGUCGAAGUUGGUUUUAAACAACAGAUUUCGGUUGAAGUUGAUGAUUUUGGUCGAUGUUGAUGGUUUUGGUCGAAGUUGGUUGGAAACAACAGAUUUCGGUUGAAGUUGAUGAUUUUGGUCGAUGUUGAUGGUUUUGGUCGAAGUUGGUUUUAAACAACAGAUUUCGGUUGAAGUAGAUGAUUUUGGUCGAUGUUGAUGGUUUUGGUCGAAGUUGGUUGGAAACAACAGAUUUCGGUUGAAGUUGAUGAUUUUGGUCGAUGUUGAUGGUUUUGGUCGAAGUUGGUUUUAAACAACAGAUUUCGGUAGAAGUUGAUGAUUUUGGUCGAUGUUGAUGGUUUUGGUCGAAGUUGGUUGGAAACAACAGAUUUCGGUUGAAGUUGAUGAUUUUGGUCGAUGUUGAUGGUUUUGGUCGAAGUUGGUUUUAAACAACAGAUUUCGGUAGAAGUUGAUGAUUUUGGUCGAUGUUGAUGAUUUUAGUCGAAGUUGGUAGGAAACAACAGAUUUCGGUUGAAGUUGAUGAUUUUGGUCGAUGUUGAUGGAUUUGGUCGAAGUUGGUUGGAAACAACAGAUUUCGGUUGAAGUUGAUGAUUUUAGUCGAUGUUGAUGGUUUAAGUCGAAGUUGGUUGGAAACAACAGAUUUCGGUUGAAGUUGA